rnacentral:rRNA from 1 species
UACAGAGGUCUCAAGCGUUGUUCGGAUUCAUUGGGCGUAAAGGGUGCGUAGGCGGCGCGGUAAGUCGGGUGUGAAAUCUCGGAGCUUAACUCCGAAACUGCAUUCGAUACUGCCGUGCUUGAGGACUGGAGAGGAGACUGGAAUUUACGGUGUAGAGGUGAAAUUCGUAGAUAUCGGGAGGAACACCAGUGGCGAAGGCGGCUCACUGGAUCGGUACUGACGCUGAGGUGCGAAAGCGUGGGGAGCAAACAGG